ACAAUGGGCGCAAGCCUGAUGGUGCGACGCCGCGUGGGGGAUGAAGGGCUUCGGUUCGUAAACCCCUGUCAUCUGUGAGUAAGGCUCCCAAUAAAAGCUUGGGAGAUUGAUAUCAGCAGAAGAGGAAGGGACGGCUAACUCAGUGCCAGCAGCCGCGGUAAUACUGAGGUCCCAAGCGUUGUUCGGAUUUACUGGGCGUAAAGGGUGCGUAGGCGGCUAUAAAAGUUUGGUGUGAAAUCUCCGGGCUCAACCCGGAAACUGCAUUGAAAACUAGAUAGCUAGAGGAUCGGAGAGGAGAUUGGAAUUCUCAGUGUAGCAGUGAAAUGCGUAGAUAUUGAGAGGAACACCAGUUGCGAAGGCGGAUCUCUGGACGGUUCCUGACGCUGAGGCACGAAAGCUGGGGUAGCGAAGAGGAUUAGAUACCCUCGUAGUCCCAGCCGUAAACGGUGCGCACUUGCUGUGGGCGGAUUCGACCCCGUCCGUGGCGAAGCUAACGCGAUAAGUGCGCCGCCUGGGGAGUACGGUCGCAAGAUUAAAACUCAAAGAAAUUGACGGGGGCCUGCACAAGCGGUGGAGUAUGUGGCUUAAUUCGAUGCAACGCGAAGAACCUUACCUGGCCUUGACAUGUAGUGGACCGGGUGCGAAAUCACCCUUUCCUUCGGGACUGCUACACAGGUGCUGCAUGGCUGUCGUCAGCUCGUGUCGUGAGAUGUUGGGUUAAGUCCCGCAACGAGCGCAACCCCCGUGUUCUGUUGCCACCCGGAUGAGAAUCCGGAGCACUCUGGACAGACUGCCUGGUUUCAACCAGGAGGAAGGUGGGGAUGACGUCAAGUCAGUAUGGCCCUUACGGCCAGGGCUGCACACGUACUACAAUGCCUGAUAUAAUGGGAAGCGAGACCGCGAGGUGGAGCAAAUCCUCAAAAUCAGGCCCAGUUCAGAUUGUAGGCUGCAACUCGCCUACAUGAAGGAGGAAUCGCUAGUAAUGCCGUAUCAGCUACGACGGCGUGAAUACGUUCCCAGGCCUUGUACACACCGCCCGUCACAUCAUGAAAGUCGAUUGUACCCGAAGUCGCCGCGUUAACCGCAAGGAGACAGGUGCCGAAGGUAUGGUUGGUAAUUGGGAUGAAGUCGUAACAAGGUAGCCGUAGGGGAACCUGUGGCUG
rnacentral:rRNA from 1 species